CCUACGGGAGGCAGCAGUGGGGAAUAUUGCUCAAUGGGGGAAACCCUGAUGCAGCGACGCCGCGUGAGGGAAGAAGUAAUUCGGUAUGUAAAGCUCUUUUAGUAGGGAAGAAAAUGACGGUACCUGAGGAAGAAGCCCCGGCUAACUACGUGCCAGCAGCCGCGGUAAUACGUAGGGGGCAAGCGUUAUCCGGAUUUACUGGGCGUAAAGGGAGCGUAGGCGGGAGUGCAAGUCUGGAGUGAAAGGCGGGGGCUUAACCCCCGGACUGCCCUUGAAACUGUACGGCUGGAGUACAGGAGAGGUAAGUGGAAUUCCUAGUGUAGCGGUGAAAUGCGUAGAUAUUAGGAGGAACACCAGUGGCGAAGGCGGCUUACUGGACUGUAACUGACGUUGAGGCUCGAAAGCGUGGGGAGCAAACAGGAUUAGAUACCCUUGUGGUC
rnacentral:rRNA from 1 species